AUCUAGCCAUGGAGAGUUCAUUCUCAUGGGUGCUUUGCUAAUAUUUUCAUUCAGACUAAAUAAUUAUUUUCCCUAUCCACCUACCCUGGUAUAUAUUUACCCGUGUGCUUCUAGCUCUUACCUUACUAAACUAGGCUGCCACCUUUGGGAACAUUUUAACUGACUGCAUCCUGCAGGACCUUUCCAGUUUCUGGAAGCUGAAUCCAGCAUCCCAGAUAUUCAGAGAUUUCAUUACCAGCAUAAAGGAGACAGGUUAGUUACUAUGACUGAGAAGUUAGGGAAGGAAAAUGUGGUGAAAUGUUGAAACUCAGGAAGCUGAAAUAUUUGUUCUUAAAAGAUGAUCAUAAUGAUGGAGUUCCCUUGUCUGUAAAAUUGGCUGGUUACAGAAUGUUGCCUUCUGACUAUAGAUAAUAGAUACUUUAUUACUUCUUAUAAAACAAGAAGAUCAUGUUCUCUUAAAUCCUUUCUUAAACUGAUAACUUUUCAAAAAUAUAUAAUAUUGCUAGUAGGAAAUGUUCCCUUCUGCAAGGGAUAAACCUUUAUUAUUAGUAGACUUCUUCAGUGCAGCAUAUCAAUCUACAAACAAAAUUUUAUUGCCAAUAAUAUUUGUGUUUGCUAUACCAGCAGAUUAUCAUUUCAGAGAGAAAGCUGUAGGACUGUUAGCAAUAGAUUUGUCAACAACAGCAUGCAAAAAGCUAUUUCAAUGUAUGUCAUUCCAGAAUUACUUCUAGUAUAUUCUUUUUUUUUCAAUUGUUGUAUAUAGCUAUUUAUUUUGACAGCAAUGGCAUAUUUAUUUUAAAGCCUUUCUGAAAAAAGUAAGUUUGUAGUACCUUUUAUGUUUCUCAUUAACUUAGGGCUAUUUCUCUUUCAACUAUUUCAUUCCAAUUAUUUGUCAUCUAAAUUAUCAGAUUAGUUCAUUCAGAAAAGGUAGUUCAGAAAAGGGGAUGCAAUCAUCAUCUGCCUUGCAGCAGGAGACUUCCCUAGUACUCAGUUAGGCUAAAUUUAGAUUGAAUUCAGUGAAGGUUAUCUCCCUUAAUCAUUAAUGGGUAUAGAUAGUUCAGCUCAAUUUCAGUGUGAUUGCAAAUGUCUCCUCAGGAGAAACCAGGAUAGUGAGACAAAAACCAGUUACUCCUAUUCAAGAUUAAGGGUCUGAAUAGAAAAUUGUGCAGGAUCUGAUUUACAGGUUUUUGGUUUUUUUUCUACAUACUUUUGUCAACCCUGUCAUGGUAACAAGUAUCGGCUCUACUUAGCCUAACCUGAAAAAUAUGAAGCAAAUUGUGACUUACACAGUGAAAUUUUGUAUUUAAAGAAAAUAAAAUUAUGAACAUUGGUGAAGAUUUAGUUCUUUAAUCUGGGAGAUUUUCAAAAUACUCCUUCCCCACUGGAAAAAUAAAUAGUUGAUUGGAUCAGAAAUACUGUGGCAGAAGCAGCAGGCAACAUUAAAUUAAGUCCUAAACAUUUUUAGGCUGUGCAGAAGACAUGUCUACUUGAAUUGAGUAUCUAGAAGAUGUGCUGAGGAGGAGCCUUUAGGACAUCAAUAAACCAAUGUCUAAGAAAAGUAAUGGUCUUAAUAACCCUACAUGAAAUGUGAGAUAGAUCCGUUCUAUAGAUGAGAAAUGGCCCCAGCAAGUUACUUGCUAAGGAGAAUAUGAUAAAAGAUUAAGAAAAAUGUUCUAUGGAAAUCUUUAUAACUGCUUCAUUUAUUAAAGAAAUAGAUAACUUGCACUGUUUUGUAACAGAUUUGUAGCCAACUUAGAGGUAUUUCAGUAACGAUGGCUUCAGUGGGAAAAAUGGAUUACUCUCUUGGGUUUUUUCAUGUAAUAUGCAUCCUCACAAAUAGGCUUUUACACAAAUCUGUUAUGAGGGCCAUAGCAUAGGACUGGAAAUAGGAAAAGCUUUCUGAAAUUUAAAGAAAAAAAAAAAAUCAGUAAUGUUUUGCUUUUUUAGAAAAUCCUUCUGAGCUGUCAGAUGGGGCAGUCAUAGCCCAAGGCAGUUCACUCUGCAUCUCCACUACAGAGUUCACCUGAAUGACCAAUUUUGGUGAUUCUGGAUCUGGUGCAAGUGUCUGCACUAGUAGAUCACAAUGAUGUUUGCUCCAUGCAGUGGAGGAGAGCAAUAGAACACAACAUUUCAGGAGAGAAUAUAUGAGUGUGAGCAUGCGUGUAUGGCCAGGCAUAGGGAGCCGUUCUCCAAGCACCACACUAUCUUGUCACAGAUGAUGAAUCAUCUGGGAAAGCAUUGCUGCAGAAUAUGAUGCUUUAUUCCAAAUACAUAAGUGGCAAUAGUCUGCCAGUAAAAUACCAUUAGUUUUUUGGUUCUGUGUUGCUGCUUCUGUUCCAAAUUCUAAGAGGCUUAGAGAGAAUAUUGGGACAUCGUCUUGUUCCAAAUAUCAUGCUGACCCUAUGUCAGCAACAGUUGCAAUGCCUGUGAACACAGCUAUAUCCUCUUCUUGAUACCACGGGAGAAAGAGGCGAAAGUGCCAUGCAGUACGAAAGGCAAUUAUAUCUGUAUUGUUGCAUUGAGGGAAGAUUGAUUCAAAUAGUUCAGUAACUAUUAGAUUAAAUAUGACAGCUAUAUUUUCCACAUCAGUUUAGAAUAUUGAUAGGAAAUACACCUCAUAUAUGUAGUUUAUAGUGCAGGAGCUAGUCAAAUCUCAGUGUCUUUCAGGAUUAACAUAAUCACAAAAUCACCAGGUUUGAAGGACUAUCCACAACCACGAGUCUGAGGAGACACAAAACACUAAAUACAACUUCUGCUCUACAGCUUUGUUGAAGUUAUACCAUUAGCCACUUAGUCAUGACAUGAAAAUCCAAACAAUUUUUAAUGCAAAGUGGUUCCUUAUACUAGUUCUUGUAUAAUGAAAAAGCCCAACCAAAGAACCAACCAAGUAAUCCCCAAAUUAAAGUUGUUCUUUUUUUAAUAUGGCCUAUACCAUAUUUUAUCAGCAGUUUCUAAUUGGCUUUUGUUUCUUUUAUGAAUGUCAAUGAUAAUGACUGGGAGUAAUGACUAAUGCCCUACAGAUGCAUUUUAAAGGGUAUAGUUUUCUUUCUCAAUUGAGUAUUCCAUUAAACUCUAUCCUAAGUGAUCCACUCAGGAUAAACAAUAUUCAUAGGCACAGUUUUCCUCUGAAUAGCCAUUUUUAAAAUCGGGCUUCCAGAACUUUCCAUCUAGAGAUGCCAUUUCCAGUAUCUUAUGAGACUUGUGGCUUGUCAGUUGGCAGCUCAGGUUCUGCACCUGAAUUUUCACCUGAGCUUUAAAUUCAUUCCCAAACGAUGGUGAUUUAGUCUAGCAGCAAGAGCUUCAGAGCACAAGAGGGUGUUAUCAAUUCAUUUCAGAACUCAUAUUUGUAGUACAAAAGUUAUCAGACAAAGUUAUUAAAAAGUUUUCCUAUCAUUUAAAUUUUAAAUGUCACUUAAAAUUCUUGCUUUCCAUUUCAAUUCGUAUAUCAAUAUUCCCAUCACAUAUAAAUACACAGUCAUCUCAGAAUCCCAAAUCCUCUUCUGAAAUAAAUCAGUUAUGCAUUUUUGGCAUUAAGUUUGUCGCUUACUUAUUUAUAUUUGGCAUCAGAAAAUGUUCUGAAAAAAUCCUUUGUACUGAUUCUGUCUGCAGUUCUCAUCAGACAUCUGCAGUGUCCCCAUCUUUUAUUUUAAAAUAUUUUUUUACUAUUACUUUAUUUUGUUCCCUGAAGAUCACCUCUGCUGUCUGCUUCUUGGCCACCUCUCCCCACUUAGACUCAAUUAAUAAUAAUGUUUCUAUUGCAAAAACUGGAGCACUUAGGGAAAAAUCAGGACUGAGAAAAUCAGGCACUAUUUCCUCUAUCCUAGUGUGAGAGAUUCACUGUGAAAGCAUAUAGUGGCAGUUUUGACUUGCUGUAGAAGUUCAUAGGAGAUGCUGAAUUCAGUAAAACCAUCCAUAUCUGAUGCCUGUUAAUCACUUCUCAGCCUCAUCUAACACCAUUUGCAAGCUGAAGUAUUUGUGGUAGGUAAGGGACAGGCGAACGGAAGAUUUCGGGGUGUGACGGAAAGAUAGACCCAUCCCCCUCUCUGCCUCUCUUCCCCACUUAUCUAUUAACUCCAGAAGCCUCAGAGGAAUGCAGCCACACCGGCCCUAGUAAAUUUCCACUACCCACUAACCCCUGAGACCCCCAACCCCCCUCUGACGUAGCAAAGACCCCUAAAAGCUAUUUAAACCCACGAGAUAGGAUAAUAAACGCUUUUCAACCGUCUGC